AACGAACGCUGGCGGCAUGCCUAACACAUGCAAGUCGAACGAUUGCCUUCGGGUGAUAGUGGCGCACGGGUGCGUAACGCGUGGGAAUCUGCCCUUAGGUUCGGAAUAACAGCUGGAAACGGCUGCUAAUACCGGAUGAUAUCGCGAGAUCAAAGAUUUAUCGCCUGAGGAUGAGCCCGCGUUGGAUUAGGUAGUUGGUGGGGUAAAGGCCUACCAAGCCGACGAUCCAUAGCUGGUCUGAGAGGAUGAUCAGCCACACUGGGACUGAGACACGGCCCAGACUCCUACGGGAGGCAGCAGUGGGGAAUAUUGGACAAUGGGCGCAAGCCUGAUCCAGCAAUGCCGCGUGAGUGAUGGAGGCCCUAGGGUUGUAAAGCUCUUUUACCCGGGAAGAUAAUGACUGUACCGGGAGAAUAAGCCCCGGCUAACUCCGUG
rnacentral:rRNA from 1 species